CUGUUACCCUGAAGGAUCUGGAGGUAAGAGGCCCUGGGCCAAGGUGCAGUGACCCUGCAGGCCAGCCCUCCAACCUCCUUUCACAGCAGGGGCUAGGUGCCCCUCUGCCAGCUGAGACAGCCCACACACACCCCAGCCCUAAUGAUUGUUCUCUCCACCUCUCCCCACAAUCCUCCUCCAACUCCUCCUCUCUGCAUGCGCCUCAGAGUCGGUACCAAGAACUGGAAUUAGCCCUGGACUCAAGCUCCGCAAUAAUCAAUCAACUCAAUGAAAACAUAGAAUCAUUGAAACAACAGAAGAAACAAGUGGAACAUCAGCUGGAAGAAGAAAAGAAAACCAACAGUGAAAUACACAAAGCACAGAUGGAGCAGUUAGAGGCAAUCGACAUCCUCACAUUGGAAAAGGCAGACUUGAAGACCACCCUUUACCAUACUAAACGUGCUGCCCGACACUUCGAAGAAGAGUCCAAGGAUCUGGCUGGCCGCCUGCAAUACUCCUUACAGCGUAUUCAAGAAUUGGAGCGGGCUCUCUCUGCUGUGUCUACACAGCAGCAGGAAGAGGACAGGUCCUCGAGCUGCAGAGAAGCGGUCCUCCAGUGGCGGUUACAGCAGACCAUAAAGGAGCAGGCACUGCUGAACGCACACGUGACACAGGUGACAGAGUCACUUAAACAAGUCCAGCUAGAGAGAGAUGAAUAUGCUCAACAUAUAAAAGAAGAGAGGGCCCGGUGGCAGGAGAGGAUGUGGAAAAUGUCGGUGGGGCUGAGCCCCCAUCCCCGGCACCCCCAGCAGUGACCUCUGUGGUGGAGCAGCUACAAGAUGAGGCCAAACACCUGAGGAAGGAGGUGGAGAGUUUGGAGGGAAAGCUCCAAUCCAAGGUGGAAAACAACCAGGCCUUGAGUCUCCUGAGCAAGGAACAAAAGUAGAGGCUCCAGGAGCAGGACGAGAGGCUCCGAGAGCAGGAGGAGUGGAGGGUGCGGGAGCAGGAGAGACUGUGUGAGCAAAAUGAGAGGCUUCGGGAGCAGCAGAAGACGCUACGGGAGCAGGGUGAGAGGCUGCGAAAGCAGGAGCAGAGGCUAUGCAAGCAGGAGGAGAGGCUGCGAAAGGAGGAGGAGAGGCUGCGAAAGCAGGAAAAGAGGCUGUGGGACCAGGAGGAGAGGCUGUGGGACCAGGAGGAGAGGCUGUGGGAGAAGGAGGAGAGGCUACAAAAGCAGGAGGAGAGGCUCAUGCUCUCCCAGAACCACAAGCUCGACAAGCAGCUGGCCGAGCCACAGUGCAGCUUCGAGGAUCUGGUGGGUUGCCCCACCUGGGGAGCCUGCCC
rnacentral:lncRNA from 1 species